rnacentral:rRNA from 1 species
GAUGAACGCUGGCGGUAUGCCUAACACAUGCAAGUCGUACGAGAGUUUUUAACUCUAGUGGCGGACGGGUGAGUAACACGUGAGAAUUUGCCUUUAGGAGGGGGAUAACAAUUGGAACGAAUGCUAAUACCCCAUAUGCUUUUGAGUGAAAUGGAUUUUAUCCGCCUAGAGAGAAGCUCGCGGCUGAUUAGCUUGUUGGUAAGGUAAGAGCUUACCAAGGCGACGAUCAGUAUCUGGUUUGAGAGGACGAUCAGACACACUGGAACUGAGACACGGCCCAGACUCCUACGGGAGGCAGCAGUGGGGAAUUUUGGACAAUGGGGGAAACCCUGAUCCAGCAAUGCCGCGUGAGUGAAGAAGGCCUUCGGGUUGUAAAGCUCUUUUGUCAGGGAAGAAACACCGGCUCUAACACAGUCCGGGAAUGACGGUACCUGAAGAAUAAGCACCGGCUAACUACGUG